rnacentral:rRNA from 1 species
GAUGAACGCUGGCGGCGUGCCUAAUACAUGCAAGUCGAGCGAACGGACGAGAAGCUUGCUUCUCUGAUGUUAGCGGCGGACGGGUGAGUAACACGUGGAUAACCUACCUAUAAGACUGGGAUAACUUCGGGAAACCGGAGCUAAUACCGGAUAAUAUUUUGAACCGCAUGGUUCAAAAGUGAAAGACGGUCUUGCUGUCACUGAUAGAUGGAUCCGCGCUGCAUUAGCUAGUUGGUAAGGUAACGGCUUACCAAGGCCACGAUGCAUGGCCGACCUGAGAGGGUGAUCGGCCACACUGGAACUGAGCCACGGUCCAUACGCCUACGGGAGGCAGCAGUAGGGAAUCUUCCGCAAUGGGCGAAAGCCUGACGGAGCAACGCCGCGUGAGUGAUGAAGGUCUUCGGAUCGUAAAACUCUGUUAUUAGGGAAGAACAUCUGUGUAAGUAACUGUGCCCAUCUUGACGGUACCUAAUCAGAAAGCCACGGCUAACUACGUG